GACGAACGCUGGCGGCGUGCUUAACACAUGCAAGUCGAACGGUAAGGCCCUUCGGGGUACACGAGUGGCGAACGGGUGAGUAACACGUGGGUGAUCUGCCCUGCACUUCGGGAUAAGCCUGGGCAACUGGGUCUAAUACCGGAUAGGACCACUGCCUGCAUGGGUGGGGGUGGAAAGCUUUUGCGGUGUGGGAUGGGCCCGCGGGCUAUCAGCUUGUUGGUGGGGUGAUGGCCUACCAAGGCGACGACGGGUAGCCGGCCUGAGAGGGUGACCGGCCACACUGGGACUGAGAUACGGCCCAGACUCCUACGGGAGGCAGCAGUGGGGAAUAUUGCACAAUGGGCGCAAGCCUGAUGCAGCGACGCCGCGUGAGGGAUGACGGCCUUCGGGUUGUAAACCUCUUUCAGCACCGACGAAGCGCAAGUGACGGUAGGUGCAGAAGAAGGACCGGCCAACUACGUGCCAGCAGCCGCCGUAA
rnacentral:rRNA from 1 species